CCUGAUGCAGCGACGCCGCGUGAGGGAUGACGGCCUUCGGGUUGUAAACCUCUUUCAGUAGGGAAGAAGCGAAAGUGACGGUACCUGCAGAAGAAGCGCCGGCUAACUACGUGCCAGCAGCCGCGGUAAUACGUAGGGCGCAAGCGUUAUCCGGAAUUAUUGGGCGUAAAGAGCUCGUAGGCGGUUUGUCGCGUCUGCCGUGAAAGUCCGGGGCUCAACUCCGGAUCUGCGGUGGGUACGGGCAGACUAGAGUGAUGUAGGGGAGACUGGAAUUCCUGGUGUAGCGGUGAAAUGCGCAGAUAUCAGGAGGAACACCGAUGGCGAAGGCAGGUCUCUGGGCAUUAACUGACGCUGAGGAGCGAAAGCAUGGGGAGCGAACAGGAUUAGAUACCCUGGUAGUCCAUGCCGUAAACGUUGGGCACUAGGUGUGGGGGACAUUCCACGUUUUCCGCGCCGUAGCUAACGCAUUAAGUGCCCCGCCUGGGGAGUACGGCCGCAAGGCUAAAACUCAAAGGAAUUGACGGGGGCCCGCACAAGCGGCGGAGCAUGCGGAUUAAUUCGAUGCAACGCGAAGAACCUUACCAAGGCUUGACAUGAACCGGAAACACCUGGAAACAGGUGCCCCGCUUGCGG
rnacentral:rRNA from 1 species